CCUACGGGGGGCAGCAGUGGGGAAUAUUGGACAAUGGGGGGAACCCUGAUCCAGCCAUGCCGCGUGUGUGAAGAAGGCCCUCGGGUUUUAAAGCACUUUCAGUGAGGAAGAACGCCUGGUGGUUAAUACCCAUCAGGAAAGACAUCACUCACAGAAGAAGCACCGGCUAACUCCGUGCCAGCAGCCGCGGUAAUACGGAGGGUGCGAGCGUUAAUCGGAAUUACUGGGCGUAAAGCGCGCGUAGGUGGCUUGAUAAGCCGGUUGUGAAAGCCCCGGGCUCAACCUGGGAACGGCAUCCGGAACUGUCAAGCUAGAGUGCAGGAGAGGAAGGUAGAAUUCCCGGUGUAGCGGUGAAAUGCGUAGAGAUCGGGAGGAAUACCAGUGGCGAAGGCGGCCUUCUGGACUGACACUGACACUGAGGUGCGAAAGCGUGGGUAGCAAACAGGAUUAGAUACCCGUGUAGUC
rnacentral:rRNA from 1 species